rnacentral:rRNA from 1 species
AGAGUUUGAUCAUGGCUCAGAACGUACGCUGGCGGCACGCCUAACACAUGCAAGUCGAACGAAGUAGCAAUACUUAGUGGCAGACGGGUGAGUAACAUGUAGGUAUCUGCCCUUUGGCCUGGAAUAACACGAGGAAACUUGUGCUAAUACCGGAUAAGUCUUUACGGAGAAAGCUUUACGCACCAUUGGAUGAGCCUGCACUUGAUUAGUUUGUUGGUAGGGUAAUGGCCUACCAAGACUUUGAUCAAUAGCUGAUUUGAGAGGAUGAUCAGCCACAUUGGGACUGAGACACGGCCCAAACUCCUACGGGAGGCAGCAGUGGGGAAUCUUGCACAAUGGAGGAAACUCUGAUGCAGCGAUGCCGCGUGAGUGAAGAAGGCCUUUGGGUUGUAAAGCUCUUUCGUCGGGGAAGAAAAUGACUGUACCCGAAUAAGAAGGUCCGGCUAACUUCGUGCCAGCAGCCGCGGUAAUACGAAGGGACCUAGCGUAGUUCGGAAUUACUGGGCUUAAAGAGUUCGUAGGUUGUUGAAAAAGUUGGUGGUGAAAUCCCAGAGCUUAACUCUGGAACUGCCAUCAAAACUUUUCAGCUAGAGUUUGAUAGAGGAAAGCAGAAUUUCUAGUGUAGAGGUGAAAUUCGUAGAUAUUAGAAAGAAUACCAAUUGCGAAGGCAGCUUUCUGGAUCAUUACUGACACUGAGGAACGAAAGCAUGGGUAGCGAAGAGGAUUAGAUACCCUCGUAGUCCAUGCCGUAAACGAUGUGUGUUAGACGUUGGAAAUUUAUUU